rnacentral:rRNA from 1 species
UACGAAGGGGGCUAGCGUUGUUCGGAAUUACUGGGCGUAAAGCGCACGUAGGCGGACAUUUAAGUCAGGGGUGAAAUCCCGGGGCUCAACCCCGGAACUGCCUUUGAUACUGGGUGUCUGGAGUCCGGAAGAGGUGAGUGGAAUUCCGAGUGUAGAGGUGAAAUUCGUAGAUAUUCGGAGGAACACCAGUGGCGAAGGCGGCUCACUGGUCCGGUACCGACGCUGAGGUGCGAAAGCGUGGGGAGCAAACAGG